rnacentral:rRNA from 1 species
AACGAACGCUGGCGGCAGGCUUAACACAUGCAAGUCGAGCGCCCCGCAAGGGGAGCGGCAGACGGGUGAGUAACGCGUGGGAAUCUACCCAUCUCUACGGAAUAACGCAUGGAAACGUGUGAUCAUACCGUAUACGUCCUUCGGGAGAAAGAUUUAUCGGAGAUGGAUGGGGCCGCGUUGGAUUAGCCAGUUGGUGGGGUAAAGACCUAGCAAGGCGGCGAUCCAUAGCUGGUCUGAGAGGAUGAUCAGCCACACUGGGACUGAGACACGGCCCAGACUCCUACGGGAGGCAGCGGUGGGGAAUAUUGGACAAUGGGCGCAAGCCUGAUCCAGCCAUGCCGGGUGAGUGAUGAAGGCCCUAGGGUUGUAAAGCUCUUUCACCAGUGAAGAUAAUGACGGUAACCGGAGAAGAAGCCCCGGCUAACUUCGUGCCAGCAGCCGCCGCCGUAA